rnacentral:rRNA from 1 species
UCGGCUAACUCCGUGCCAGCAGCCGCGGUAAUACGGAGGAUUCAAGCGUUAUCCGGAUUUAUUGGGUUUAAAGGGUGCGUAGGCGGUUUGAUAAGUUAGAGGUGAAAUCCCGGGGCUUAACCCCGGAACUGCCUCUAAUACUGUUAGACUAGAGAGUAGUUGCGGUAGGCGGAAUGUAUGGUGUAGCGGUGAAAUGCUUAGAGAUCAUACAGAACACCGAUUGCGAAGGCAGCUUACCAAACUAUAUCUGACGUUGAGGCACGAAAGCGUGGGGAGCAAACAGGAUUAGAUACCCUGGUAGUCCACGCAGUAAACGAUGAUAACUCGUUGUCGGCGAUACACAGUCGGUGACUAAGCGAAAGCGAUAAGUUAUCCACCUGGGGAGUACGUUCGCAAGAAUGAAACUCAAAGGAAUUGACGGGGGCCCGCACAAGCGGAGGAACAUGUGGUUUAAUUCGAUGAUACGCGAGGAACCUUACCCGGGCUUGAAAGUUACUGACGAUUCUGGAAACAGGAUUUCCCUUCGGGGCAGGAAACUAGGUGCUGCAUGGUUGUCGUCAGCUCGUGCCGUGAGGUGUCGGGUUAAGUCCCAUAACGAGCGCAACCCCUACCGUUAGUUGCCAUCAGGUCAAGCUGGGCACUCUGGCGGGACUGCCGGUGAUAAGCCGGAGGAAGGUGGGGAUGACGUCAAAUCAGCACGGCCCUUACGUCCGGGGCUACACACGUGUUACAAUGGUAGGUACAGAGGGUCGCUACUCCGUGAGGGGAUGCCAAUCUCGAAAGCCUAUCUCAGUUCGGAUCGGAGGCUGAAACCCGCCUCCGUGAAGUUGGAUUCGCUAGUAAUCGCGCAUCAGCCAUGGCGCGGUGAAUACGUUCCCGGGCCUUGUACACACCGCCCGUCAAGCCAUGGAAGCUGGGGGUGCCUGAAGUUCGUGACCGCAAGGAGCGACCUAGGGCAAAACCGGUAACUGGGGCUAAGUCGUAACAAGGUAGCCGUACCGGAAGGUGCGGCUG